rnacentral:rRNA from 1 species
CAUUGUCGAGACCCUGAAUGGAUUGGAUGACCUUUGAUAACACGUGAAAGGGGGCGGCGAUAGCUGCCCGUAAACACCAUCCAUAUGUUGUCCCUCCGCUCGAUCUGAGCUACGAGAUAACAGAUGGAUGAAAAACAACCGGGCGCAGUUUUGUGCCAAGGAAUAAUGCGACGCUAGCAUCGACGGUCGUUCGAAAAAGCUCGUCGGGUUUGGCAGAACGUCGUCGUUGCUUCUCGAGUAUUGUAGGACUCUCGGCAAUGGAUAUCUUGGCUCUUGCAUCGAUGAAGAGCGCAGCGAAAUGCGAUACGUGGUGUGAAUUGCAGAAUCCCGUGAACCAUCGAGUUUUUGAACGCAAGUUGCGCCCGAGGCCAAUUGGCUAAGGGCACGUCUGCCUGGGCGUCAAGCAUUAUGUCGCUUCACCCGACACCGGCCAUCGAAGUGGUGCGACGGUGUCGGCUCGAACGCGGAGAGUGGCCCUUCGCGCACGUCUGCGCGACGGGUUGAAGAGCAGAUUGCCUUCCUCUUGGCCAUGCUUUGAUAAAGGGGUGGAUGGGUGCUACCAGUAGUCCCGCACUAUCACAACGUGUCCCUGAGGAAGACAGAUACACACAUCCCUGGUGGCUCACUCGAUCAAUACGUCGUACGUGACACCUUGGAAUGCGACCCCAGGAUGGGCGGGAU